ACCGGUGGCUAUAGAGAAGAGGAAACGCCUUGACCCAUUUCGAACCAAGAAGCUAAGCUCUUCAUCGCCGAUAAUACUCUCCCUUACUGGGACGGAAAUGUAGGUCGCUGCCGGUU
rnacentral:rRNA from 1 species